CUCAGAGGAAGAGCUCCUUCGCCAGCGCAGCCCGCCCAGCGCCUCCCGCCUGCUAGGCAUGUCAGUUAGCCGCGAGGCUAACAAGACAUUUGCCCUGGGCAUUUGGGGGGCGGCUUUUUUUGCCGCCCCCUGGAAAAUGCCGCCCAAGGCAAAUGCCUUGCGGCUAAAACGCCCCUGGGUGUAUGGUAGGGUUGAACACAUGGAAGGGCUGUAUGGUAGCAAAGAAAGAGCUUAGACUUAUUUCUUUUCCUACAAGUACUCCCCUCAACCCUUGGCUAACAUCACUCCCCCUCAUGGGAGGGAGGACAUGGGAGAGGCAGCAUGGAGGAGGACACCGUGCCGAUAUUGGCUGUCUGGCACCACCAUGCUGUGUGCUGGUGUCAGACACCAAUUUUGCACACGACUGAUAUUACCCAGCCCCGAACUCUGGGCCGGCUAAUGACUCCCAAAGAUUAAGGUUAAGCUCUGUAUGUGCAGCACAUACAGACUCCAGACACCAUGAAAAGUAUCAUGGCGCAUUGAACAAACUUUUAUUCUUCUGAUGUCGGGCUCCAUAGGUUUACCCUGCAUGGCUGACAACACAAAAAUGGCAUGUGUUUUUUUUUUUUUAAUGAUGUUACAGGUUUAAGGUUGAGGACAGGCCAAUGCAUUGAUGGUGUUAAAGUGGACCAGUCACGUCUCUGCAAUUUAAGUCGUUGAAUUUAACAUUGAAAAUCACCUAUAACUUGUGUUAAUUAACCUUUAUUCUAAGAUGCUUCAUUUUCUUUUAAAUUUAUAUUACAGAUUUAGCAAAUUACAUCAUAAUCCAGUUCUAAAAAAACGGAAAAGCCAUGAAACAUUGUCCAAGUGAAGCGUAUCCAGGGCCGGCCUUAGGGAUGUGCGAGCUCUGCGGCCGCACAGGGCGCCAUGGCAACAGGGGCGCCGGGCGGCCAACACAGCUCGCAGGCUGGCCGAGUUCUGUAUUUAAAGUGCAAGUCAAGUGCAUAAUACUGCUUUGCACUUGACUUGCAAAUUAUGAGCAGAGAGCCGCCGCCGGGAAUCCACUUCUGUAUGGAGGGUGGAGGAGGAGCGUGGGGGCGUUAUGCCGCGUACUUGCGUAACGUCGACGUGCUCUGUCAUCAGAG